AAGAAUGGCGUGAACCCGGGAGGCAGAGCUUGCAGUGAGCUGAGAUUGCGCCACUGCACUCCAGCCUGGGCGACAGAGCGACACUCCAUCUCAAAAAAAAAAAAAAAAAAAAGUUUCGGCAAAUUCCAUCUAAGAAUUCCACCAGAGUUCUGUUGUCUCCAAUGUCAUCUUCCACAGAUUUCAAGUUGUGAAGCCCUGAACUGUUAAUUUAUCUUGAGAAUGUAUAUUUAAGCUUAAUUUAAGACUAUAUACCUAAAAAUUGAGCAUGUAAUUUCUAUAAUUUGUUUAUGUAAGUUUCUGUAAGUCAUAAGUAUGUGGUUUCCAAGUGUAUAAUUUAUCUGAAUGUAAUAGGCAUUAAUAUAUUUUACAUUACUGGGACCAUAGUACAGAAAUUUCUAAAUGGUUUGUAAAAUAACUUGUUAUUUGUGUUGUUGUAAAAGCAGUUAAUACAAUGGAAAAACUCGUAAUAAGAAGAUACAGUUUAACAUCAAAAAGUUUACCCAAGGUAAUUAUGAGUACUACCUGGCAAAACUUCACGGAAGCUGUGGUAUCACUUUUAUGAUGGAAGAAUGGUGUUUGCAUUUUGUGUAAAAGUACUUGCGGCUGGGCGUGGUGGCUCAUGUCCCAGUGCUUUGGGAGGCGAAGGCAGGUGGAUCAUCUGAGCCCAGGAGUUUGAGACCAGCCUAGGCAACGUGGCAAGAGCCUGUCUCUCCAAAACCUACAAAAUUUAGCCAAGCUUGGUGGUGUGAGCCUGUAGUCCCAGCUACUUGGGAGACUCACGCUGGAGGAUCUCUCGAGCCCAGGAGGCAGAAGAUGAAUAAAUAAAUGGAAGCAACUGAAUGGGAUGAGGUCUCUCUUGAAGGAGAGAGCAAAAGAGAUUUAAAUAGUAACAAUUAUAAUAAGGCUGGGCGCUGUGGCUCACGCUUGUAAUCCCAGAACUUUGGGAGGCCAAGGCAGGCGGAUCGGUUGAGGUCAGGAGUUCAAGACCAGCAUGGCCAACACGGUGAAACCCUGUCUCUAUUAAAAAUACAAAAUUAGCCGGACAUGGUAGUGCGUGCCUGUGGUCUCGGCUACUCAGGUGGCUGAGACAGGAGAAUCGCUUGAACCUGGUAGGCACAGGUUGUAGUGAGCCGAUAAAUAUAAAAAGUAUUAGAGUACUAACAGAGGAAAGUUUCCACUGAUCACCUUUUAGCUUUAAAUAAUGCAGAAGCAUUUGCCCAGUUUACUUGUAAUUAAAAAUCAUGCAUCAUUCACAAUUUAUAUCUUUUUUGUUUGUACAAAAAUGAACACAAGUUAUUCUCUUUUAUCUGUAUUGUGAUUGGUUUGGUGAGAGGGAAUUAGGCCACUUGAGAGUUUGUGUGUGUUUACAAUUUUCUGGCCAGGCACGGUGGCUCAUGCCUGUAAUCCCAGCACUUUGGGAGGCCAAGGCGGGCGGAUCACUUGAGCUCAGGAGUUCGAGACCAAAUUGGGCAACAUGGUGAAACCCUAUCUCUACGAAAAAUACAAAAAUUAGCUGAGUGCCGUGGCUUGCGCCUGUCCUCCCAGCUACUUGGGGGGCUGACGCAGUAGGAUCGCUCAAGCCCAGGAGGUGGAGGUUGCAGUGAGCCAAGAUCACGUCACUGCACUCCAGGAAGGGCAACAGAGCAAGACUCCUUCUAAAAAAAAAAAAAAAGAAAGAAAGAAAAGAAAAUUAACUUUGGUAUUUCAGGUUGUAUUUAAAUGGAGACUUAACAUGAAC
rnacentral:lncRNA from 10 species